UGGGGAAUCUUCCGCAAUGGACGAAAGUCUGACGGAGCAACGCCGCGUGAGUGAUGACGGCCUUCGGGUUGUAAAGCUCUGUUAAUCGGGACGAAUGGUUCUUGUGCAAAUAGUGCGAGGAUUUGACGGUACCGGAAUAGAAAGCCACGGCUAACUACGUGCCAGCAGCCGCGGUAAUACGUAGGUGGCAAGCGUUGUCCGGAAUUAUUGGGCGUAAAGCGCGCGCAGGCGGAUUGGUCAGUCUGUCUUAAAAGUUCGGGGCUUAACCCCGUGAUGGGAUGGAAACUGCCAAUGUAGAGUAUCGGAGAGGAAAGUGGAAUUCCUAGUGUAGCGGUGAAAUGCGUAGAUAUUAGGAAGAACACCAGUGGCGAAGGCGACUUUCUGGACGAAAACUGACGCUGAGGCGCGAAAGCCAGGGGAGCGAACGGG
rnacentral:rRNA from 1 species